AUGAACGCUGGCGGCGUGCCUAAUACAUGCAAGUCGAGCGAACGGACGAGAAGCUUGCUUCUCUGAUGUUAGCGGCGGACGGGUGGGUAACACGUGGAUAACCUACCUAUAAGACUGGGAUAACUUCGGGAAACCGUAGCUAAUACCGGAUAAUAUUUUGAACCGCAUGGUUCAAAAGUGAAAGACGGUCUUGCUGUCACUUAUAGAUGGAUCCGCGCUGCAUUAGCUAGUUGGUAAGGUAACGGCUUACCAAGGCAACGAUGCAUAGCCGACCUGAGAGGGUGAUCGGCCACACUGGAACUGAGACACGGUCCAGACUCCUACGGGAGGCAGCAGUAGGGAAUCUUCCGCAAUGGGCGAAAGCCUGACGGAGCAACGCCGCGUGAGUGAUGAAGGUCUUCGGAUCGUAAAACUCUGUUAUUAGGGAAGAACAUAUGUGUAAGUAACUGUGCACAUCUUGACGGUACCUAAUCAGAAAGCCACGGCUAACUACGUG
rnacentral:rRNA from 1 species